AGCAGCCGCGGUAAUUCCAGCUCCAAUAGCGUAUAUUAAAGUUGUUGCAGUUAAAAGCUCGUAGUUGAAUUUCGGGGUUCAUACGUUGGUCGGGCUUUUUGGUCUGUACUGGCGUAAUGGAUUCCUACCUUCUGAAUAACCGGCAUGCCAUUAAUUUGGUGCGCCGGGGAAGCAGGACUGUUACCUUGAAAAAAUUAGAGUGCUUAAAGCAGGCUAUCGCCUGAAUACAUUAGCAUGGAAUAAUGAAAUAGGACGGCAUGGUUCUAUUUUGUUGGUUUCUAGGAUUGACGUAAUGAUUAAUAGGGAUAGUUGGGGGCAUUAGUAUUCAAUUGUCAGAGGUGAAAUUCUUGGAUUUAUUGAAGACUAACUACUGCGAAAGCAUUUGCCAAGGAUGUUUUCAUUAAUCAAGAACGAAAGUUAGGGGAUCGAAGACGAUCAGAUACCGUCGUAGUCUUAACCAUAAACUAUGCCGACUAGGGAUCGGAUGAUGUUAAUUUUUUAAUGACUCAUUCGGCGCCUU
rnacentral:rRNA from 1 species